CACGUAGGGCGCAAGCGUUGUCCGGAAUUAUUGGGCGUAAAGAGCUCGUAGGCGGCCUGUUGCGUCCGCUGUGAAAACUCGGGGCUUAACCCCGAGCCUGCAGUGGAUACGGGCAGGCUAGAGGUAGGUAGGGGAGAAUGGAAUUCCCGGUGUAGCGGUGAAAUGCGCAGAUAUCAGGAGGAACACCGGUGGCGAAGGCAAUCCCCUGGACCUGUACUGACGCUCAUGCACGAAAGCGUGGGGAGCAAACAGG
rnacentral:rRNA from 1 species